UAAGCAUAUCAAUAAGCGGAGGAAAAGAAACUAACAAGGAUUCCCCUAGUAACUGCGAGUGAAGAGGGAAGAGCUCAAAUUUGAAAUCUGGCAGUGUUUUGCUGUCCGAGUUGUAAUCUAGAGAAGUGCUGCCCGUGCUGGACCAUGUACAAGUCUCCUGGAAUGGAGCGUCACAGAGGGUGAGAAUCCCGUCUUUGACAUGGACUGCCAGUGCAUUUGUGGUGUGCUCUCAAAGAGUCGAGUUGUUUGGGAAUGCAGCUCUAAAUGGGUGGUAAACUCCAUCUAAAGCUAAAUAUUGGCGAGAGACCGAUAGCGAACAAGUACCGUGAGGGAAAGAUGAAAAGAACUUUGGAAAGAGAGUUAAACAGUAUGUGAAAUUGUUGAAAGGGAAACGCUUAAAGUCAGUCGUGUCGGCCAGGGAUCAACUCAGUAUUAUCUGCUGGGUGUACUUCCUGAUCUGAUGGGCCAACAUCAGUUUUGACUGCUGGAGAAGGAUAGAGGGAAUGUGGCACCUUCGGGUGUGUUAUAGCUCUCUGUCGGAUGCAGUGGUUGGGACUGAGGAAAGCAGCAUGCCGCAAGGCCGGGUCGUUUCGACCACGUUCAUGCUGAGGAUGUUGGCAUAAUGGCUUUAAUCGACCCGU
rnacentral:rRNA from 1 species